rnacentral:lncRNA from 10 species
CUCUGCUUCUACAGAGGGUCCUUUUGUGAACUGUGAACGGUGAACUGCUCCACAGUUCAUCCAGAAUGAUGUUUGGAUUUGGUGGAAGCAUUCCAGAAUAUGCCAGUCCUUCAAAACAGGGAGCCCUCACUGGGCAGGGUAGAGGAGAUGCAAAGUCAUGCUUCGUUGGGUAAGCGAACACUGGCCACCUUCCAGCUGUUUUUUCCAGCUUUGACACACCGAAAGUGAGGUGGUGAUGUAACCCAGGCCUGCCCUGAAGCCCAUUCGUGUACCACGGAUCUUAUUAUGAUACCACCCACCUACAAUACAGCCCAGACGGCAACAGGUCCUCCGGCAGCAUUGGAGAGGGCUCUAGUGAACUCCACCUAGAACCAGCUGAUUUAACGAACUCUCAUUCAUGAUAAGAAACAUUCGUCUAUAAAAUGGAGUAAACGAGAAUAUAAUGAAUUUCCCCCAGCAGGUCAAGGUCAGGCUUGGGUAUCUGGGUGGGGAACUGAUGGUGGCAGGCAGCUCAUGCAGAGAGAGAGAGUCUCAGCCAGGCUUGGCCCCGGAGAUGGUUUCAAAUCUGGAAGUUUCAGGCUCCAGUGAAAAACUCAUUUUCAAAUGUGUAAGGCUGUGAGUGCCUUGAAAGCAAGCCUGUGUGUUACUCAUCUCCACAAGCCCAGCAUCGCUCACGUGCCUUUCACACCACUGGAGCUCAGCUCUGCAGGACCAGUAGAUCUUUAAGUCCGGGUAGAAAACUGGAGACACGAGUAUUCAGCAACGGGAUCUUCCCUGGGAAUGCUCCGGAUAUGAAAGGAGAUACGAAGGAAGAGAAAGAAAGCUCUACAAAUAAUAAUGACAAAUUAGAUCGAAGAGUGAGGAACACAAUGACCCCCUUGACGGGCACGUGGUAAAUUCACAGCUCGUGUAGCUCUCGCUGAAGAGGACCUGCUCAUCAUUCAGCAAACACAGACAUGAAGUUCAGCAUCGGGCUCCCUGGUGUGUCUGACGGAUGGGACUUCCAAAGGCUGUAAAGGUCCUUGCUCAAGUCUCAGCAGUUGCCUGGAUGUAGCAGUUACACCAAGUACUUGAGUACCAGUAAAAUGGCAGUUACUCCACACUGUUCACUUGGAGAAUAACUGCCACUUCAUGCUUAUUGCUUAUUUAUUUCCUUCCUUCCUUCCUUCCUUCCUUCCUUCCUUCCUCUUUCUCUCUUUGACAGGGUCUCUCUCUGUUGCAGAAGCUGGAGUGCAGUGGCCCAAUCUCAGCUCACUGUGGCCUCGGCCUUCUGGGCUCAAGAAAUCCUCCCACCUCAGCCUCCCAAAGUGCUGGGAUUACAGGCAUGAGCUACCACAGCCUGCCUUGUUGGGUUUCUAGACAAGGUCCCUGAGACCCAGAAAGGUAAAGUGAUAUACAAAGUUCAAUAAUUACAUGUGGUGAAGCCAGCGUAGCAUCCACACCUCCUCCCUCCCCAUUUAAUGUCUUUUCACCAGAGAGCAUGUGUUAAUGAGGCUGUGGUUGUAGACUCUUAUAGGAACUGAAGACCUGUAAGACCCAUAUCCCAGUUAGCCAUCUUACAAACAGAAGCAUUCACUGAAUAUAUGUCCAGGCGAGAGAAUAGGUGGCUGUAAGAAAACUGACCCCAUUCUUUGAAACAAACACACGCAAGCUUCUUUCUCUAUCUAUCUACCUAUCUUCUAUUUCUCUAUUAUCUAUCUAUCUAUCUUUCUUUCUUUCUUCAUCACUAUAAUGCUCAAGAAUAUAUUUGCAGCAAAACCCAAUGCUAUUCUGAUCAAGAGCAAAGCCAUCAAUAGCUCUUGGUUGGAACUUGGGAAAAAACUGGGCAUAGAGAGCCUGGUGAAUACUUAUCCAGGUGAUACCAACUGUUGUAGGUCUCUUGAGUGUGGACCAUGUAUCUGAAGAAACAAUUGUUUAAAUGUUACUCAAAGGACCAAAAGGAUGGAUGUCCAAAGGGUGAGCAUUUGAUUUCUCCUCAUGUGUGGAACUUGCCUUUUAGUGACCUGGCUGAUGAGUGGCCAACGCUCUUCCUGUGCCAUUGUGUCCCACACAGCCAGAAUUUAAUCAUGCAGGAGCUGCUGGAAAGAUGCUCUAUGCAGAGAGAAAUUAAUGGAAUGAACUCAGGACAAAACCCUUGUCUCGGGUCUGCGUCAUUCUAAUAGCAGAACAAACUUCAUGCUGUCAGCAGCAAAAGAGAUGACUGGAAAUCACCUUUAGCUUUUCCAUCCAUUAUGACAGCAUGGGCAGAACGAGGAAGGAGGACAGCAAACAGGAUGAGAAACCACAGAUGAGGUGGCAGGCAGGAGGCAUGCGCUGUAUCCAUCCAAGGACAAAGAGAGGUGGCAGGAGCUAAGGCUGUGACCAGGAGAGAAAUGUGAGCCGACUUAAAGGGAAAGACAGAAGGGAGCCCUGUGCAGACUGGCUGUUUGUUACAGCUUAAGCAAAAGUGCCAAAGAAACUCUGUGAAUCAGGACUUGCACACAAGGAUGGGGGUCAGACCCAAGCUGAUGUCUACCUGGCUGAGAACGAGUCCCAUUCACUGUAUGAGGCUCAUGGAGUCUUUGCCAAGGGGCUAGUCCCAGGUUCUGGGUAUGUGGAGGGUCAGCAUUCAUGGGGAGACAUUCCUCCGCCUCUUCUGUUCUUUCCCCUAAACCUGUUAACUCCUGACACACAUCUUAUGAAUUUCUAAACCAUAUCGUCUAGUAGAAGAUCACAGAAGUUGAGUCAGUGACUCACUGGGCCAAGUUCUAUUCGUAGACAGGGAGACUGGGGAGAGUGGACUCAUUGCCGCAGUUCCACAAAGCUCUUCCGGUUAGGGGAUGCAUUGCCCAGAGUUCCACAAAGCUCUUCCGUGUAGGGGAUGCACUGCCAGGAGUGCCACAAGGCUCUUCCGGUGAGGGGAUGCAUUGCCGAGUUCCAGAAAGCUCUUCCUUGUAGGGGAAGCAUCGCCCGGAGUUCCACAAAGCUCUUCCGGUGAGGGGAUGCAUCGCCCGGAGUUCCACAAAGCUCUUCCGGUGAGGAGAUGCAUCGCCCGGAGUUCCACAAAGCUCUUCCGGUGAGGGGAUGCAUCGCCCGGAGCUCCACAAAGCUCUUCCGGUGAGGAGAUGCAUCGCCCGGAGUUCCACAAAGCUCUUCCGGUGAGGAGAUGCAUCGCCCGGAGUUCCACAAAGCUCUUCCGGUGAGGAGAUGCAUCGCCUGGAGUUCCACAAAGCUCUUCCGUGUAGGGGAUGCACUGCCGAGUUCCACAAAGCUCUUCCGUAUAGGGGAAGCAUCGCCUGGAGUUCAACAAAGCUCUUCCAUGUAGGGGAUGCAUCGCCCAGAGUUCCACAAAGCUCUUCCAUGCUGUUGGCUCUUUUGUCUCCUAAACCCUCUUCUCUCCCUGGAGAUUGUGGAAGUGCUCUUGACUAAUUCUCUGAGCUCUGUGUGGGUUGAGAGCUUAAUUCUGUUGCCCAACCUGGAAAGGGCAGAUGGGGGAGUCGGGACACCCGUGUCUUAUGCCUGACUCUGUUAUGACUUAGCUGUGUGACAGGGGACAUUUUUGUUGGUCACAACUUGGAGGGUGCUACUGGCAUCCAGAGGAUAGAAGCUUGAGAUCCCAGGAAAUGCCCUACAGUGCACCAGGCAUCCCCCUACGACACAAACAUCUGGUCCAUGACAUCACUCGUGCCCCUGUGGAAAAACUCUGCCCUAGAUUUGUUUUCUCACCUGUAAACUGAGAGGUUUGGAUUAGAUCAUUUUAAAAAUCAUUUUCAAAGACAAACUUUGAAAAGUCGAUGGUGAAGCAUAAAAUUUUACCUUAAAUUUAGAUAUGAAUCAUAACAUAAAUGAUGCUGAGAAGCAAAAAUGAAUCUCCCAAAGUAUAUAAGUGAAAUGACAGUAGCUCUUAUCAGUAAUAAGGGACUGUGCCUUGUGGCUAAGGUAGCCCCUUAAGCUAUAAAGAUGUGAGAAAUGGCAUUUUAUCAACAAGGUAUCCAACAAGGCAUUCAUUUAGAGAGAAGGAAAAAAAUCCCAAUUUCCAAAUCCCAGGCUUCCACUUAGGAGAGGCUGGAGGGAAGUGAUACACACAAACCCCUCCUGUCUAAACAAUGUGCCAGACAGAAAAAGGCCAGAGGUGAUUCGUGUGGAAAUGGGUUUUUACAGGAGCUGCAAUAAAGAACCCCCUUUCCCAAGCCCUACUGAAAUGAAAUGCUAGCUAUAUAAUCAAUGUCAUGAAGCAGAAAAGGCCUGGGGAACACCAGGGAAACCUAUCUACUGGCCAGGCACACGGAGUGCAGGUCCAGAGCUGGUGAGCAGGCUCUCUCACCAGGACGUGUGACAAUCAUCUCCUGCUGUGUAGCUUGGGGCCCCCUCCCACUGGGCUGUCACGCUGACAGAGGCUGACCUCACAGGUCUUCUUGGAGGGUCUCAGCAUUGGUAUUCAUCCCUGAAAAAUUCACUACACCUCCACAAACACAACUGAUAGCAAAUAUGAUUACAGGGAGUUCUGGGGGAGCUGAGGAGACAGGAGACGUGUUAUGAAAGGGAAAAUAAAACUCCCAAACCACCAACAAUGACACUUCACGUAUAGAUGGCUGCCCAGUGGAAUGGGAACGCUGCGUCCCGGUAACUCUGGAGUCUAUGUUCAAGGAAGAUCUAGAUAAUUUAGAAAUAUCAGUCUGGGCUCAUGAGGAUCACCUGCGCUUGUGAUCCUCUGAGGCUUAAUUGUUAUAUUUCAUUCUUACAGUUUUCAGAUUGGGAGAAAAUGGGGCACUCAAGAGCCAUUUGGACUUUUCAAAGGUCAGGGUCUGAAGAGCCUGAUGCUUAGACACUGAUAGGGACCCUGACUCUAAAAACCUUUGCAGGAGUGGAGGUGCAGGCAUGGUGGGUGGGAGGUGUGAUCUCUGGCUUAGACACCAGCAUGAAACACCCCCGGGAAGCAUCAGGAAAUGUCUUAAGUAAAUGCCAGGAAGGGGAGGAGGCAAAUGAGAGAGUUCAGGCCACAGUUGCCUCAUUUUCAUAGUUCAAGAAGUCAUUCAUGAAGAAUGUCACACACACACACAAAACAGAUAGAAAAGGUAGCCUCUGCCAAGGUCUCCUUUCCUCGUAUGGACAUUUAUGAUAUUAUGAUAUUGACAGCACUAAUAAUAUUGUGGAUUUUAAAUCUUCAUUUCCCCAACAUUCUCACCCACAUGGUAAUUUGGGUGAUUUAGACAAGCCACUCUCUGAGGGGAAAGUUGGAGAAUGCAGAAGUUAGUGCAGUCAGCAACUCCAGCAACCUGACAUAUCUAAGAGUUGGAAUAUCGAAGGAAAAUCUAAAAACAGGUCAGUGAGUGAAAUCUGACCUCUACCUAGCCAUGAAUAGAUGAUUGUUUUUAUUUUUCUACAUUUUUUUUUUGAGAUGGAGUCCCACACUGUUGCCCAGG